rnacentral:rRNA from 1 species
CAGCAGCCGCGGGAAUACGUAGGGUGCAAGCGUUAAUCGGAAUUACUGGGCGUAAAGCGUGCGCAGGCGGUUCGUUAAGACAGAUGUGAAAUCCCCGGGCUUAACCUGGGAACUGCAUUUGUGACUGGCGAGCUAGAGUAUGGCAGAGGGGGGUAGAAUUCCACGUGUAGCAGUGAAAUGCGUAGAGGUGUGGAGGAAUACCGAUGGCGAAGGCAGCCCCCUGGGCCAAUACUGACGCUCAUGCACGAAAGCGUGGGGAGCAAACAGGAUUAGAUACCCGUGUAGUCCCUGUCUCUUAUAC